AUAAAGGCGAUGAUGGAGAGGGGUAUAUGUAUAAGCUAAAGAGAGCCGGUGGUUGCUGCAAACCGGUGCGAGUACAUAUAUUAGAUCGCUCCGGAGUAGUUAAGUUGAAGUUUUAGUAGGCUUAACCGUAAGACCUGCGUUAAAGGUAAAGUAUGAUUACUUGCUGAGGCAUUUGCCGUGAGGUAAAUGCGAAAUCAGGUGGUACCGCGAGAUGAUCCUCGCCCUGAAU
rnacentral:ncRNA from 1 species